GAUGAAAGAAAGAAAGAAAGAAAGAAAGAAAGAAAGAAAAA
rnacentral:ribozyme from 1 species